UGUAAGCGUAUACCAAAGUUGUUGCAGUUAAAACGCUCGUAGUCGGAACUUGGCCGUUCCGGAUGUGUGCACGUCGUGUGCGCACUCUGCAGGGACGGCUUUUGUGGUCUUGCGUAGGAUGAGGCACUUUUAUUAGUGAACGUCCUCACGCAACCACUCUUUACUGUGAGAAAAUCAGAGUGCUCAAAGCAGGCAUUUGCCGUGAAUGUAUUAGCAUGGAAUAAUAGAAUAGGACUCGGUUCUAUUUUGUUGGUUUGUUGGGACUGAGUAAUGAUUAAGAGGGACAGUUGGGGGCAUUCGUAUUUCGGCGCUAGAGGUGAAAUUCUUAGAUUGCCGAAAGACAAACUGCUGCGAAAGCGUCUGCCAAGGAUGUUUUCAUUGA
rnacentral:rRNA from 1 species